AUUGAACGCUGGCGGCAGGCCUAACACAUGUAAGUCGAGCGGAUGAAGGGAGCUUGCUCCUGGAUUCAGCGGCGGACGGGUGAGUAAUGCCCAGGAAUCUGCCUGGUAGUGGGGGAUAACGUCCGGAAACGGGCGCUAAUACCGCAUACGUCCUGAGGGAGAAAGUGGGGGAUCUUCGGACCUCACGCUAUCAGAUGAGCCUAGGUCGGAUUAGCUAGUUGGUGGGGUAAAGGCCUACCAAGGCGACGAUCCGUAACUGGUCUGAGAGGAUGAUCAGUCACACUGGAACUGAGACACGGUCCAGACUCCUACGGGAGGCAGCAGUGGGGAAUAUUGGACAAUGGGCGAAAGCCUGAUCCAGCCAUGCCGCGUGUGUGAAGAAGGUCUUCGGAUUGUAAAGCACUUUAAGUUGGGAGGAAGGGCAGUAAGUUAAUACCUUGCUGUUUUGACGUUACCAACAGAAUAAGCACCGGCUAACUUCGUG
rnacentral:rRNA from 1 species